rnacentral:ncRNA from 1 species
GGUAUAUUCACGGCUCCAGGGAUGAAAAGGGAAGUCGGGUGAAAUUCCCGCACGAACGGGUCACUGUAAUCAUCGAGUAUAUUCUUCCUGCAACAAAAUUGCAGGCAAAACGGUCAUUGCGGCUUUAUGCUGUGAGAAGACAAAAGGAUAUAUGUUGACAUGGAGUCAGGAAACCUGCUUGGCAAU